rnacentral:rRNA from 1 species
AUUGAACGCUGGCGGCAUGCUUUACACAUGCAAGUCGAACGGUAACAGGGUGCUUGCACCGCUGACGAGUGGCGAACGGGUGAGUAAUGCGUCGGAACGUGCCGAGUAGUGGGGGAUAACGCAGCGAAAGUUGUGCUAAUACCGCAUACGUACUGAGGUAGAAAGUGGGGGACCUUCGGGCCUCACGCUAUUCGAGCGGCCGACGUCUGAUUAGCUAGUAGGUGAGGUAAAGGCUCACCUAGGCGACGAUCAGUAGCGGGGCUGAGAGGAUGAUCCGCCACCCUGGGACGUGGCCACUGCCCAGACCCCAGCGGGAGGCAGCGGUGGGGAAUUUUGGACAAUGGGCGAAAGCCUGAUCCAGCCAUGCCGCGUGUCUGAAGAAGGCCUUCGGGUUGUAAAGGACUUUUGUCAGGGAGGAAAUCCCUAGUGCUAAUAACACUGGGGGAUGACAGUACCUGAAGAAUAAGCACCGGCUAACUACGUGCCAGCCGCCGCCGUAA